rnacentral:rRNA from 1 species
AGAGUUUGAUCAUGGCUCAGGAUGAACGCUGGCGGCGUGCUUAACACAUGCAAGUCGAACGGAGUUGAUCGGAGGAAGUUUUCGGAUGGAAUCGGAUUGACUUAGUGGCGGACGGGUGAGUAACGCGUGGGUAACCUGCCUCACACUGGGGGAUAACAGAUAGAAAUAUCUGCUAAAACCGCAUAAGCGCACGGGGCCGCAUGGCCAUGUGUGAAAAACUCCGG